GACUUCUCGAGCUCUGUGAAGCUCAAGUAUGUCAAGCUCGGCUAUCAGUACCUCGUCAACCACAUUCUCACCCUUCUCCUCAUCCCGGUCAUAUUCGCACUGUCCGUCGAGCUGGUCCGCUUAGGACCAGCCGAUGCGGAGGCCCUUGUGCGCUCUCUUCACGAUUUCGACCUCAUCCAUGUCCUUUGCUUGGUGUUCGUUGUGGUCACUGCGGCGACGGUUUACUUUAUGUCACGGCCACGACCAAUCUACCUUGUGGACUAUGCGUUGUUCAGCCCGCCGGCGACGUGCCGGGUGCCGUUUUCGACGUUUAUGGAGCAUAUCAUGUUGAUUAAUUUUGACCCCAAGGCUGUGAAGUUCCAGACCAGAAUAUUGGAGCGUUCAGGGCUCGGGGAGGAGACAUGCCUACCGCCCGCU
rnacentral:misc_RNA from 1 species